UACAGAGGUCUCAACCGUUGUUCGGAUUCAUUGGGCGUAAAGGGUGCGUAGGCGGUCGCGUAAGUCAGGUGUGAAAUCUCAGGGCUCAACCCUGAAACUGCACUUGAUACUGCGUGGCUCGGGUACUGGGAGAGGAGACUGGAAUUUACGGUGUAGCAGAUGAAAUGCGUAGAUAUCGUAAGGAAGACCAGUGGCGAAGGCGAGUCUCUGGACAGUUACCGACGCUGAGGCACGAAGGUCAGGGGAGCAAACGGG
rnacentral:rRNA from 1 species